AGAGUUUGAUCCUGGCUCAGAACGAACGCUGGCGGCAGCCUAACACAUGCAAGUCGAACGGGCAUCGCAAGAUGUCAGUGGCAGACGGGUGAGUAACACGUGGGGAACGUGCCCAUCGGUUCGGACUAACCCAGGGAAACUUGGGCUAAAGCCGGAUACGACCGAGAGGUGAAAGAUUUAUCGCCGAUGGAUCGGCCCGCGUCUGAUUAGCUAGUUGGUGAGGUAACGGCUCACCAAGGCGACGAUCAGUAGCUGGUCUGAGAGGAUGAUCAGCCACACUGGGACUGAGACACGGCCCAGACUCCUACGGGAGGCAGCAGUGGGGAAUAUUGGACAAUGGGCGCAAGCCUGAUCCAGCCAUGCCGCGUGAGUGAUGAAGGCCCUAGGGUUGUAAAGCUCUUUCGCACGCGACGAUAAUGACGGUAGCGUGAGAAGAAGCCCCGGCUAACUUCGUGCCAGCAGCCGCGGUAAUACGAAGGGGGCUAGCGUUGUUCGGAAUCACUGGGCGUAAGGGGCGCGUAGGCGGCUGUUCAAGUCGGGGGUGAAAUCCCGUGGCUCAACCACGGAAUGGCCUUCGAUACUGGACGGCUCGAGACCGGAAGAGGUGAGUGGAACUGCGAGUGUAGAGGUGAAAUUCGUAGAUAUUCGCAAGAACACCAGUGGCGAAGGCGGCUCACUGGUCCGGUUCUGACGCUGAGNNNNCGAAAGCGUGGGGAGCAAACAGGAUUAGAUACCCUAGUAGUCC
rnacentral:rRNA from 1 species